UCACAUUAAUCCCUGAUGCUCUAUAUCAAGCAUGCCGGUUUCGACCGGAUAUGGCGAUAAAGUAUGCUGUGUAAUAGACGCAACGGACCCGGGGGCAGUACCCGGCGGCUCCACCAAAAAGCCCGUAUUUACGGGCUUCCUGAUGGGGCCGAACUAGGAUCGACGUGUGUUGAAAGGCAGUGUUUUUGCUCGGGCUGAGUAACCCGUAAUAGGCUCACAACCACAAGUGCCAACGAUAACGAAGCACUCGCUCUCGCUGCGUAACCUGACGGCCUAACGGCCUGAUCUUACAAAGACUUGAGCACGGUUCGGACCGAACCGGGUAACAGAA
rnacentral:tmRNA from 1 species